AUUGAACGCUGGCGGCAUGCUUUACACAUGCAAGUCGAACGGUAACAGGGAGCUUGCUCCGCUGACGAGUGGCGAACGGGUGAGUAAUGCGUCGGAACGUGCCGAGUAGUGGGGGAUAACGCAUCGAAAGGUGUGCUAAUACCGCAUACGUACUGAGGUAGAAAGUGGGGGACCUUCGGGCCUCACGCUAUUCGAGCGGCCGACGUCUGAUUAGCUAGUUGGGGAGGUAAAGGCUCACCAAGGCGACGAUCAGUAGCGGGUCUGAGAGGAUGAUCCGCCACACUGGGACUGAGACACGGCCCAGACUCCUACGGGAGGCAGCAGUGGGGAAUUCUGGACAAUGGGCGCAAGCCUGAUCCAGCCAUGCCGCGUGUCUGAAGAAGGCCUUCGGGUUGUAAAGGACUUUUGUCCGGGAGCAAAUGCUGGUGGCUAACAUCCACCGGAGCUGUGAGUACCGGAAGAAUAAGCACCGGCUAACUACGUGCCAGCCGCCGCAGUAAUAC
rnacentral:rRNA from 1 species